GAGCGGCGGACGGGUGAGUAACGCGUGGGUAACCUGCCUCAUACAGGGGGAUAACAGUUAGAAAUGACUGCUAAUACCGCAUAAGACCACAGUACCGCAUGGUACAGUGGGAAAAACUCCGGUGGUAUGAGAUGGACCCGCGUCUGAUUAGCUAGUUGGUAAGGUAACGGCUUACCAAGGCGACGAUCAGUAGCCGACCUGAGAGGGUGACCGGCCACAUUGGGACUGAGACACGGCCCAAACUCCUACGGGAGGCAGCAGUGGGGAAUAUUGCACAAUGGGGGAAACCCUGAUGCAGCGACGCCGCGUGAAGGAUGAAGUAUUUCGGUAUGUAAACUUCUAUCAGCAGGGAAGAAAAUGACGGUACCUGACUAAGAAGCCCCGGCUAACUACGUGCCAGCAGCCGCGGUAAUACGUAGGGGGCGAGCGUUAUCCGGAUUCAUUGGGCGUAAAGCGCGCGUAGGCGGCCCGGCAGGCCGGGGGUCGAAGCGGGGGGCUCAACCCCCCGAAGCCCCCGGAACCUCCGCGGCUUGGGUCCGGUAGGGGAGGGUGGAACACCCGGUGUAGCGGUGGAAUGCGCAGAUAUCGGGUGGAACACCGGUGGCGAAGGCGGCCCUCUGGGCCGAGACCGACGCUGAGGCGCGAAAGCUGGGGGAGCGAACAGAAUUAGAUACCCUGGUAGUCCCAGCCGUAAACGAUGGACGCUAGGUGUGGGGGGACGAUCCCCCCCGUGCGGCAGCCAACGCAUUAAGCGUCCCGCCUGGGGAGUUACGGCCGCAAGGCUAAAACUCAAAGGAAUAGACGGGGGCCCGCACAAGCAGCGGAGCAUGUGGCUUAAUUCGAAGCAACGCGAAGAACCUUACCAGGGCUUGACAUAUGGGUGAAGCGGGGGAGACCCCGUGGCCGAGAGGAGCCCAUACAGGUGGUGCAUGGCUGUCGUCAGCUCGUGUCGUGAGAUGUUGGGUUAAGUCCCGCAACGAGCGCAACCCCCGCCGCGUGUUGCCAUCGGGUGAUGCCGGGAACCCACGCGGGACCGCCGCCGUCAAGGCGGAGGAGGGCGGGGACGACGUCAAGUCAUCAUGCCCCUUAUGCCCUGGGCUGCACACGUGCUACAAUGGCCGGUACAGAGGGAUGCCACCCCGCGAGGGGGAGCGGAUCCCGGAAAGCCGGCCCCAGUUCGGAUUGGGGGCUGCAACCCGCCCCCAUGAAGUCGGAGUUGCUAGUAAUCGCGGAUCAGCAUGCCGCGGUGAAUGAAAUCCCGGGCCUUGCACUCACCGCCCGUCA
rnacentral:rRNA from 1 species